AGCUCCAAUAGCGUAUAUUAAAGUUGUUGCAGUUAAAAAGCUCGUAGUUGGAUUUCUGAAUUGAGUAUCCGGUCCGCUUGUCUCUGACGAGUGUGUACUUGUGGAUAUUUGGUUCAUUUUUUGUGAGGAAAUUUAUCUGUCAUUAAGUUGAUGGAUUUAUAGACUUGCAUCGUUUACUGUGAAAAAAUUAGAGUGUUUAAAGCAGGCGUUUGCCCUUUUGAAUACAUUAGCAUGGAAUAAUAAGAUAUGACUUUGGUGGUCUAUUUUGUUGGUUUGCACACCAGAGUAAUGAUUAAUAGGGACAGUUGGGGGUAUUCAUAUUUCAACGUCAGAGGUGAAAUUCUUAGAUCGUUGAAAGAUGAGCUUAGGCGAAAGCAUUUACCAUGGAUGUUUUCAUUAA
rnacentral:rRNA from 1 species